GUGGGGAAUUUUGGACAAUGGGCGCAAGCCUGAUCCAGCAAUGCCGCGUGCAGGAAGAAGGCCUUCGGGUUGUAAACUGCUUUUGUACGGAACGAAACGGUCCUGGUUAAUACCUGGGGCUAAUGACGGUACCGUAAGAAUAAGCACCGGCUAACUACGUGCCAGCAGCCGCGGUAAUACGUAGGGUGCGAGCGUUAAUCGGAAUUACUGGGCGUAAAGCGUGCGCAGGCGGUGCUGUAAGACAGGCGUGAAAUCCCCGGGCUCAACCUGGGAAUUGCGCUUGUGACUGCAGUGCUGGAGUACGGCAGAGGGGGAUGGAAUUCCGCGUGUAGCAGUGAAAUGCGUAGAUAUGCGGAGGAACACCGAUGGCGAAGGCAGUCCCCUGGGCCUGUACUGACGCUCAUGCACGAAAGCGUGGGGAGCAAACAGGAUUAGAAACCCGAGUAGUCC
rnacentral:rRNA from 1 species